rnacentral:rRNA from 1 species
UUUCCGUAGGUGAACCUGCGGAAGGAUCAUUAUUGAAAUAAACCUGAUGGGUUGUUGCUGGCUCUCUAGGGAGCAUGUGCACACUUGUCAUCUUUAUAUCUCCACCUGUGCACCUUUUGUAGAUCUGGAUAAUUUUCUGAAUGCCCCUGGCAUUCAGGUUUGGGGAUUGACUUUGUCUUUCCUUACAUUUCCAGACCUAUGUUUUCUUCAUAUACACCAUGUAUGUUAUAGAAUGUAAUGAAAAGGCCUUUGUGCCUACAAACCUAUACAACUUUCAGCAACGGAUCUCUUGGCUCUCGCAUCGAUGAAGAACGCAGCGAAAUGCGAUAAGUAAUGUGAAUUCGAGAAUUCAGUGAAUCAUCGAAUCUUUGAACGCACCUUGCGCUCCUUGGUAUUCCGAGGAGCAUGCCUGUUUGAGUGUCAUUAAUAUAUCAACCUCCUCAAGUUUUUACUUGUUGAGUGUUUGGAUGUGGGGGGUCUCUUUUUGCUGGUCUCUUUUGAGUUCAGCUCCUCUGAAAUGCAUUAGCGGAACAAUUUGUUGACUCGUUCAUUGGUGUGAUAAUAUCUACGCUAUUGACGUUGAAGCAGGUUCUGCUUCUAACAGUCCAUUGACUUGGACAAAUUUUCAUUAAUGUGACCUCAAAUCAGGUAGGACUAUUCUCUGAACUUAA